rnacentral:rRNA from 1 species
GACGAACGCUGGCGGCGUGCCUAAUACAUGCAAGUAGAACGCUGAAGGAGGAGCUUGCUUCUCUGGAUGAGUUGCGAACGGGUGAGUAACGCGUAGGUAACCUGCCUGGUAGCGGGGGAUAACUAUUGGAAACGAUAGCUAAUACCGCAUAAGAUUGACUAUUGCAUGAUAGUCAGUUAAAAGGUGCAAUUGCAUCACUACCAGAUGGACCUGCGUUGUAUUAGCUAGUUGGUGGGGUAACGGCUCACCAAGGCGACGAUACAUAGCCGACCUGAGAGGGUGAUCGGCCACACUGGGACUGAGACACGGCCCAGACUCCUACGGGAGGCAGCAGUAGGGAAUCUUCGGCAAUGGACGGAAGUCUGACCGAGCAACGCCGCGGGAGUGAAGAAGGUUUUCGGAUCGUAAAGCUCUGUUGUAAGAGAAGAACGAGUGUGAGAGUGGAAAGUUCACACUGUGACGGUAGCUUACCAGAAAGAGACGGCUAACUACGUG